GACGAACGCUGGCGGCACGCCUAACACAUGCAAGUCGAACGGUGAAGAGGAGCUUGCUCCUCGGAUCAGUGGCGGACGGGUGAGUAACACGUGAGCAACCUGCCUUUCAGUGGGGGACAACAGUUGGAAACGACUGCUAAUACCGCAUAACGUCAUUUUGGGGCAUCCUUUAAUGACCAAAGAUUUAUCGCUGAAAGAUGGGCUCGCGUCUGAUUAGAUAGUUGGUGAGGUAACGGCUCACCAAGUCGACGAUCAGUAGCCGGACUGAGAGGUUGAACGGCCACAUUGGGACUGAGACACGGCCCAGACUCCUACGGGAGGCAGCAGUGGGGGAUAUUGGACAAUGGGGGAAACCCUGAUCCAGCGAUGCCGCGUGAGGGAAGAAGGUCUUCGGAUUGUAAACCUCUGUGGACAGGGACGAUAAUGACGGUACCUGUCUAGAAAGCCACGGCUAACUACGUGCCAGCAGCCGCAGUAACAC
rnacentral:rRNA from 1 species